UGGUCAAGUUAUUAAGGGUGCAGGGCGGAUGCCUUGGCACUAGGAGCCGAUGAAGGACGUGAUAAGCUGCGAUAAGCUUCGGGGAGUUGCACGUAAACUUUGAUCCGAAGAUUUCCGAAUGAGGAAACUCACUUAGAGUAAUGUCUAAGUAUCAUUAAGUGAAUACAUAGCUUAAUGAGGGGAACUCAGGGAACUGAAACAUCUAAGUACCUGAAGGAAGAGAAAGAAAUUCGAUUCCGUAAGUAGCGGCGAGCGAACGCGGAUUAGCCCAAACCAAUAAAGUUUUCUUUAUUGGGGUUGCGGACAUAUCAUAACGAAGAGGUAUCGUAAUUGAAGAGGUUUGGAAAGACCCACCACAGAAGGUAAUAGUCCUGUAUGUUAAACGAGAAGACUUUAGAUAUGAUCCAGAGUACCACGGGACACGUGAAACCCUGUGGGAAGCAGGAGGGACCACCCUCCAAGGCUAAAUACUACCUAGUGACCGAUAGCGUAUAGUACCGUGAGGGAAAGGUGAAAAGAACCCCGGGAGGGGAGUGAAAUAGAACCUGAAACCCUGCACUUACAAGCUGUGGAAGCACAUUUCUUGUGUGACCGCGUACUUUUUGUAGAACGGGCCAACGAGUUACGUUAAGUAGCAAGGUUAAGCACUUAAGGUGUGGAGCCGUAGCGAAAGCGAGUUUUAACUGAGCGUUCAGUUACUUGACGUAGACCCGAAACCGGGCGACCUACCCAUGAGCAGGAUGAAGCGAAAGUAAAAUUUCGUGGAGGUCCGAACCCACGAGCGUUGAAAAGCUCGGGGAUGACUUGUGGGUAGCGGUGAAAUUCCAAUCGAGCCCGGAGAUAGCUGGUUCUCCCCGAAAUAGCUUUAGGGCUAGCCUCAAGGUGAGAGAUACGGAGGUAGAGCACUGAAUGUCCUAGGGGGUAUUGCACCUACCGAAGACUAUCAAACUCCGAAUGCCGUCAUCUUAUACUUGGGAGUCAGACUGUGGGUGAUAAGAUUCAUAGUCGAAAGGGCAACAGCCCAGAUCGUCAGCUAAGGUCCCUAAAUGUAAGUUAAGUGGUAAAGGAUGUGGGAUUGCACAGACAACCAGGAUGUUGGCUUAGAAGCAGCCACUCAUUCAAAGAGUGCGUAAUAGCUCACUGGUCGAGUGAUCCUGCGCCGAAGAUUUCCGGGGCUAAAACUUACUACCGAAGCUACGGCAUCAGUAAUGAUGGGUAGGGGAGCUUCCCAUACGGGUUGAAGCAUGACCGUAAGGACAUGUGGACAGUAUGGGAGUGAGAAUGUUGGCAUGAGUAGCGAGAUGUGGGUGAGAAUCCCACAGGCCGUAAACCCAAGGUUUCCAGGGGAAGGUUCGUCCGCCCUGGGUUAGUCGGGACCUAAGCUGAGGCCGAAAGGCGUAGGUGAUGGACAACAGGUUGAUAUUCCUGUACUACCGAUAACCGUUUGAGAGAAGGGAUGACACAGUAGGAUAAGCUAAGCACACUGUUGGUUAUGUGUGCCCAAGCAUUGAGGCAGUCAAAGUAGGCAAAUCCGCUUUGAUAAUGCUGGGAUGUGAUGGGGAGCGAAAUUUAGUAGCGAAGUAGCUGAUUUCACACUGUCAAGAAAAGUCUCUAUCGAGGUUAAAGGUACCCGUACCGCAAACCGACACAGGUGGGUGAGGAGAGUAUCCUAAGGCCAGCGAGAGAACUGUUGUUAAGGAACUCGGCAAAAUGACCCCGUAACUUAGGGAUAAGGGGUGCCACCAUCAGGUGGCCGCAGAGAAUAGGCCCAAGCGACUGUUUACCAAAAACAUAGGUUUCUGCUAAGUCGCAAGACGAUGUAUAGGAGCUGACGCCUGCCCGGUGCUGGAAGGUUAAGGGGAUCUGUUAGAGCAAUCGAAGCAGUGAACUUAAGCCCCAGUAAACGGCGGCCGUAACUAUAACGGUCCUAAGGUAGCGAAAUUCCUUGUCGGGUAAGUUCCGACCCGCACGAAAGGCGUAACGAUUUGGGCACUGUCUCAACAACAGACUCGGUGAAAUUGUAAUUCCGGUGAAGAUGCCGGAUACCUGCGACAGGACGGAAAGACCCCAUGGAGCUUUACUGUAGCUUGACAUUGGGUCUUGGUACUACAUGUACAGGAUAGGUGGGAGGCUUUGAAACCAGGACGCCAGUUUUGGCGGAGCCAUCCUUGGGAUACCACCCUUGUAGUACUGGGACUCUAACCAUAGGCCAUGAAUCUGGUCUUGGGACACUGUCAGGUGGGCAGUUUGACUGGGGCGGUCGCCUCCCAAAAGGUAACGGAGGCGCUCAAAGGUUCUCUCAGUACGGUCGGAAAUCGUACGUAGAGUGUAAAGGCAAAAGAGAGCUUGAUUGCAAGACAUACAGGUCGAGCAAGGAUGAAAAUCGGACUUAGUGAUCCGGUGGUUCUGCGUGGAAGGGCCAUCGCUCAACGGAUAAAAGCUACCCUGGGGAUAACAGGCUUAUCUCCCCCAAGAGUCCACAUCGACGGGGAGGUUUGGCACCUCGAUGUCGGCUCAUCACAUCCUGGGGCUGUAGUAGGUCCCAAGGGUUGGGCUGUUCGCCCAUUAAAGUGGUACGCGAGCUGGGUUCAGAACGUCGUG
rnacentral:rRNA from 1 species